CUUACAAUUGAGAGCCUGUCUAUAGUCACAUUUUGGGGAGGAAAUAUCAGCUUCUGACAGCACAUUAUAAUCGUCCAAAACAGAUUCAUCCUACAAUAUAUUAAGCAUGGGAACAAAGUAGUCUACCCAAGUUAAUUAAAAUAUAACCUAACUGUUCUGUUCUCAAGAACUGCUCAGAGUAACUCAUCGGCUACAGCAGCAUUAGUAGAACACGCCUGACUCUCCUCCCAGGACACAAACACUUUGGUGGAAAGCUGCUGCCAUCCCAUGUGACAAAAGCAGCAGUGUGGCGUCUCUACAAGAAAUCGAUGACAACACUUGGUCCCAUCUACUACAUCUAUUUAACUCCUCACAACUGUAGUGGCCAAAACAAGAACAGGUUUGUGCUCUGGUAUUGGGCCUGGCGGACCACACACAAGCUCCAUCAGUCUGGACCUUCACUUCCUGAUCACAUCAAGUUUGCCCUGGUGCUUUGGCCUCAUCAAACAGCACUUCAGAAAGACCAGUGAACACUGCCUGAGAUUGCUGGCAACAACACCUGACUCCGUACUUCAGGCCGCUGCCACAGUUCAAGCAGUACCAGCACUUCAGCUGAAUAUAAUUUUCAUUGCACUGUAUGAGGUUAUUUAAAUUUGGGAGGUGAAUUGAUGUUGCGCAAGGAUGUAAUGUAAUGUAAUGUAAUUUUGGGGUUAUUUCCUGUUUUACAGAGUCGAUGCUCUGGAGCCUGGUGUUUUUGUCACCAAGGAGUGUUCCGACUCAAUCGGACCAGGUUUCAGCUGCUGCGCAAGAUCAUCCUUCCAUAGAUGAUCUGCCUGUACAAGCACCACCUGGACUGGACACAGCUAGACAUAGUUAUGUUUUUGAGAAGAUCAGGGAGUUUUGCAGCGAAGAGGAUCUGGACAUCAAAUGCCCUGCACCAAAGUCAUGGGCAGGACAGAAACAGGAUCUCCAAAAAUAGAUUCCCUUGAUCAUGUGUGGUUCGGAGGGACCCGUCAUCAGCACUAUCUGCAGUGCCUCUAUUCAAAUGACUCUCCUAACACACACACCACUAGGCCAUCACUAGCACAUUUGCCAUCACUAUCACAUUAGUCUGCCGCCUAUAUGCUGCCUAUAGACUUGAAUACACUGGCCACUUUAAUAAAUGAAACACUAGUCACUUUAAUAAUGUUUACAUACUGCUUUACUCAUCUCUUAUGUCUACUGUAUUCUAUUCUACUGUAUCUUAGUCUGUGCCGCUCGGAUAUUGCUCAUCCAUAUAUUUAUAUACUCUUAAUUUCAUUCCUUUACUUAAAUUUGUGUUUAUUGGGUAUAUGUUAUAAAAUUGUUAGAUAUUACUGCACUGUCUGAGCUAGAAACACAAGUAUUUUGCUUCACCCGCAAUAACAUCUGCUAAACACGUGUAUAUGACCAAUAAUAUU